GUCCCGCAGCACUAACACCCUGCAGUGCACAAAUAGGAUGACAGGAGGGACAAUCUGUCAGGCUAUUACUCUGCAGACAGAGGCUGCUCAACACCUUGCCCUGACCUUGAGCAACAUCAGACCACUCAUGCCACGGAGGACUUUUGUGGGGAAUCUGGGUACUAGGACCCCUUCAACCAUCUCAUGGCUGGACACAGACUACUUGGAGUUUCUACUGCCAUGAGGAUCUUCAUCAUGCAACAUGGAUACUGACUGGAGGGCUGCCCAGGCCUCUCCAGAGCCUGAGCUAAGAACCAUCCUUGCCCCCAGCCCAACAAUGCUAUUUCCUUGAGGCGAAAUAUUAUAGUGGCAGGGGCUAACUGCUGCCUCCUCCAGCAAGUGAUGGGCUUGUGUCGGGUUAAUUCACAUCUCGUGGCAGACGUAUCAGAUGUCAGACAACUCUGUCAGCGUUGCCUUCGCCCCAGGCGCCUCGGACUUCUUCAUCUUCACCCUCAUCUCCCCGGUCUCUGGCUCCCCUAGUUCCAUCAGGGCCAGUUUCCUCAACACUAUAUGGGUUUCAGCCAGGACUAGCCGAGAAGCUACAGCAACAACUGACUUCCCUCAGAGAUGCUGUUCAAUGCAUGCCCUGGCCUUGAGGAUCAUCCCCUUGCAGUGUGAGCAUAGACAAAUUAAUCACCAGACUUGCCCCACCAGAUUGAGCUGUGUGGACCAUGUGGCCAUUACCAAGGGAAGGUUUUUUGGUUUUUGGAAUUUGUGUGUGUGUGUAAAAUGGGGUUAGCUUUUGGGGAAGAACAUUUAGGAGGAGGCUACCCCUCUUGGGUUGGAGCAAGUUCUGGAAAUUGGGUCUGGGGCUCUGUGCAGGGAACUGGCUCUGUCCCACUAGACUGGGGGACUCAGAAGAUGGAGGGCCCUUAAUUCUCUAGAUGGGGCAAACCUCCCUGUGCUCACAGUCCUGUCACUGGGGUCAACCUGCUUACCCUCAAGGCCUGGGGAAAGGACUUGUCUGGGCCUGCCAGUGGUAGUUUCUGGGAGUCCAGUGUCUGGAGUUGGGCAGGAAAACUACCACUGUGUCUAUUUUGUUUCUCUUUGAAAAGCAGACUUCUGUGAUUGAGUUGUCAGGUGUGGACAGGGAGCACAGAAGGCAAGCAUCCCACAUGAAAAUAGUCCAGUUUAGUUUGGACCUCCAGUCCCUGAAGUACAAGCCCUUUCUGGACUAACAAAUUUGGAGGGGGUGGCUAAGUAUUAGUCAGGCACAGCUUUGCAUUCAGCUUGUGUGAAAGAUGGUCUCUUUCUGGACACCUCACAUCUGAUGGUGUUGGGAUCUUUGAUGGGAGGGAGAAUUGGAUGCUUGCCAAAAAAAGUCAUCUGAAACCUUCACCCGUCUCUCUCCAGCUUGGAGAUCACUGAUUCUCCGAAAGAAAUUAGUAUCUGGGGAUUUAGAUGUAGGCCUCAGCUGUAGACAGAAGGCACUGUGAGAAGGCCAAGCCCUUCAGGAUCACUAACCCAGACAUCUCUGCCAAGGUUUCAGUAUGUAUCGGCCAGGACCAGUGGAGCAGCUCUAAUUAUUCCCCACCAUCAUCAGGCUGACGUUCCGGGGUCCAGUACCUUGUUUGCAGAGUAGGCCUCAGGGGAUCCACCACUGCAGAUGUGUACAGCUCAGAACUAGUAGGGGAACAUCCGUCUCACUCCGGGGAUGGACAUUUUCUUAUCCACAUAGCCAGAGGAGGCCCAGAGAGCAACCAGAAGCCCCUGCAUGGCGAUGGCGAAUAACUCCCUUAGCUCUCGGUCCCAGAAGGAACCAUCAACCAGAAUCCCAACCCAGAGCUGCCAGGGAGGACGGCUCCUCUUGUCUUCCCAGCCCAGCAGAGAGCAGCUUAGGUGUGGAUGACUCGGGUACAUGGAACAUUUCCAGAUUUUGAAACAGAAACCCCUCUGUCGUCAACUCCAUCAUCAUCGUGCGUGUCAUGUCUUCGGGCAGAUCUCCGUCCUGGCUGGUGGUCCACUGUCCACACCUAUUUGGGAUGUCUCGGCGGAAAGAUCUCAGCGUCCUGCGUCCCGGGCAACAGUCGUUGGUCCACUUGGUUUGUGGCCUCUCAGCGGAGAGAUUUCCCAAGUCCAGGAAUUUAUCGGUCAGGACCAUUUGAGAAGCUUCAGCACUGCUCCGCUCGUGUCAACUUGAGGUUCUUCUGCCCUCGUCCAGAGAGGAAGUUUUGAUGAGGCUGCUUGAUGCGUCUCCCCACCGGAGGACUCUUUCCCUGCAGUGUGGGCACGGAGCACCGUCAGACCACUCACGCUGCAGAGUGCUGCUGGAGGGAAUGUAUGUACUAGGACCACCUUGACACUCUCAUAGCUGGUCCUCCCCAACCUUCUCACGGAGCAGACAGUGUCUUCCAUCUUUAAGGAUCUUCUGAGGUGACAUCUUUUCCAGGAGGGGAGCCGAGAUGAGGGAAGGCGCCCAAAGAAUGGACUAGGUCAUGACGGACCACUCCCCCGCCUUUCCUCCAGACAAGGCCCACUCGAGUUCUCCACGGCCACGAGGCUGUUGACCGUGCAGCGUGGACACCAACCGGUUGGCUCCCCGGGCUUCUCCAGAGACUGAGUCUGUGACCCAUCAGCUAUGAUGCAAACAGGAGUCCCACAGCACCAACCCCCUGAAAUGCACAGCUCGGCGUAGGAUGACUCAAGGGAGAAUCUGACCGGCUAUU